rnacentral:rRNA from 1 species
GGACGAACGCUGGCGGCGUGCUUAACACAUGCAAGUCGAACGGAACACCCUUGACAGAGGUUCGGCCAAUGAAGAGGAAUGUUUAGUGGCGGACUGGUGAGUAACGCGUGAGGAACCUGCCUUUCAGAGGGGGACAACAGUUGGAAACGACUGCUAAUACCGCAUGAAGCAGCGAGGGGACAUCCCCUUGCUGUCAAAGAUUUAUCGCUGAAAGAUGGCCUCGCGUCUGAUUAGCUAGUUGGUGGGGUAACGGCCCACCAAGGCGACGAUCAGUAGCCGGACUGAGAGGUUGACCGGCCACAUUGGGACUGAGAUACGGCCCAGACUCCUACGGGAGGCAGCAGUGGGGAAUAUUGGGCAAUGGACGCAAAGUCUGACCCAGCAACGCCGCGUGAAGGAAGAAGGCUUUCGGGUUGUAAACUUCUUUAACAGGGAAGAGAAGAAGACGGUACCUGUUGAAUAAGCCACGGCUAACUACGUGCCAGCAGCGGC